UACAGAGGGGGCGAGCGUUGUUCGGAAUUACUGGGCGUAAAGCGUGCGCAGGCGGUUUUGUAAGCCAGAUGUGAAAUCCCCGGGCUUAACCUGGGAAUGGCAUUUGGGACUGCAAGGCUUGAGUGCGGCAGAGGAGACUGGAAUUCCUGGUGUAGCAGUGAAAUGCGUAGAUAUCGGGAGGAACACCAGUGGCGGAAGGCGGCUCUCUGGGCCUUUCCUGACGCUGAGACGCGAAAGCGUGGGGAGCGAACCGG
rnacentral:rRNA from 1 species